rnacentral:lncRNA from 1 species
CAAAAUUGCCAAAUAGCACAAACAAUGAAUGUUUUCUGGUUGUUAUAUAGAUGCCAAAAUAGCACUUUGAUAUUUGCAAAGUGCUUUAUGCUUUUUAAUAAUUGUUAGCUGUUUCUCACAUCAUUGUGAGUUAGAUCAGUAUUAUGACCGCUGUCUUAGGGAAGGCCUGGGAACAGGAGUGUGCAGGCUGUCCUGAAGAGAGGCUGAGGACAGUGUGAAUAAUUGUAGCCUGACCUUUUGCAUUCUCCAGCUCAGCUGCUAGGAAGACUUACUUGUCAUGAUUUAUAUAAUAAAAUUAAGGACACUGAAAAUUCUUAUGCUUGAUGAAAAACUUAAGGCUAGCCUAGAAGGGCCAAACAUGUCCUUAUUGACAAAGCUGGUCUUUGUCGCCUAAUUAGGGUAUCCUAGCUAUGUUCCAUUUCUAGUAAGGGGCUGUAGUUAGAUGACUCUUGUAUAGAUUUCAGUUACUUAUGCUGAAGAUCCCUGUGCUAGGUUAGCCUUUAGAAGUUAGAGUUGUGGAAAGCAGUAUUGUUUUCUUCUCUAGUGAUUGUUACCCUACACAUUUCAUGGAAGCAUCUUCACAAAAUAUCAGACACAGUGGAAGGGGGAAAAAAAGCUACGAGAUUGUUUUUACACUUUUAGCAAAGUUUCUGUGGAUGCUAGUAAUUUAUACUUGAUCAGUUGUAUUCUAGUAAAGAACCUCUUUGGGGACUGUAGGAAAGCAUGUUUUUGUGGUUAUAAAAACACUUAAAAAUCCUGAUAAUUCUGGGCUUGUAUAAUGCCUGUUGAUCUUGCCCUCUUAAUCAGUUUAUUGUUAUUCACAAAUGCAAAUAGGUUUUCAAACUACAGACAGUUUUGAAAGACAUUAAUUCUCAUUUUCUUCUAGUCAGGAGUAAUACAAGCAAACAAGUGUCCGUUUUGAAUUCUGAUUUGUAAUCUGAAUACUAAACAUAUUAGACCCACCUGAAAAUAAUAUAGCCAAUUUCUAGGUAAUCUUACUGCUUUGUGGGUUUCUUUCCAUGUACAUCUACCUCUUCCAGCUGUUUUAAGUUUUCUCAAGUCUGUGCCUAUGAAAUCUCAUCCAACUUUUGAUUAUUCAUGGAUUGAUUAUCCGCUUUUUUUUUGCUUUUUUGCUGCCAUUGCUAUGCCUGGUCUCGUCUGCAUCAAAUAUACUACAUAUCAGCAACUUUAGAGAAUGGGUUCAACAGGGAGUGGAGAGUGAAGCUAAUGUAAAAUAGUUUAGUGGCAGUGGGAAUCUUUGGACUUCAUUUACCUCUCUCAUUAUUUCUAUUACCAUGGAUAAAAAAGUCAGCUGCUACGUUGAUAUCCCUUCUAUGAGCACAUUCUUAGCAGAAGAAAACAAUCCAACUACCAACACCCGACUCUAUUGGUGCAUUUAAAAUGUGAUUCCAUUUUUUCUUACAAUUCUUCAGGGAACUUACCUGCAUUAAGUGAGGUUAAAUGCAUUCAGGAGGUUGUUUGUUUCUUCUAUCUAGUUUUAGAAUAAUAUUUCUUCGGCAAACCCUGCUAACUGCGGUUCACCCUUGAAAACGUUAAUCUGAGGACUUUUUCCACCAACUCAUUAAUGAUGGUGGAAGCAAGUGUAUUAUUUGUUUCCUGGAGAAUUUGAUGAAGAGCAGUCUUCCUCUGCUGCCCUUUACUAAGCAAAACCUGGAGCAAUUUAAAUAGGCUAAAUGGUUUUGAUUAAAUCUUGAGCUCCGAGUUGGAAGGAGAAAAUGAGAAGUUAACCCCUUGAGCCAUGUGGUCUCUUUACAAUCAAGAGACUGUACAUAUGUGAAAAAAUACAAAUUAAGGACCUGUGUUCAUAGACAAUCUAAACUGUGUUUCUGAAGUUUGUGCACAUUUUUCUUCACUGUAAUGUUAUUUUACAGCUGUUUGUUAAAAUAGUGAAUAAUUUAAUGAUCCUAAAAGUAACAGGUUUCGUGUGAGUGUGCUUGUAUACGUGAGAUUUGCCUUAUUUUCAGGUUGUUUUAUUUAACGAUGGUUCCUUGGACAGCAUUCUGGUGUUCAGCAACCAAUAUGGAAUAUUUGUCAUUAAAUCCAUAUCAGUCUUUUACCAUGUC